rnacentral:rRNA from 1 species
UACGGGGGGGGCUAGCGUUGUUCGGAAUUACUGGGCGUAAAGGGCGCGUAGGCGGUCUGCUAAGUUGGAUGUGAAAACUCUGGGCUUAACCCAGAGCCUGCAUUCAAUACUGACAGGCUAGAGUUCUGGAGGGGAUAGCGGAAUUCCCGGUGUAGCGGUGAAAUGCGCAGAUAUCGGGAGGAACACCAAUGGCGAAGGCAGCUCGCUGGGACGGUACUGACGCUGAGACGCGAAAGCGUGGGGAGCAAACAGG